CAGGGCGUGAGCCUGGAGGCUGGGAGGCCCAGGAGGAGGCUGGCACAAAGGAGAGGGGACAGGCCAUGCAGUCCAAGGCAUCUCCAGGCUGCUUCUCCACACCUGCCCAGUCUUUCCCGUUUCUGCUGAGAGGGGGAAGUGGUGUCCCAUGUGGAAUGGGCAUGGAUCUGAUCAUUUGUGAGACUCAGCGCCCAUCGGGAUGUCUGGUGGCUGUGGAUUCACACUGCUAUUGGGGAUGACCUCUUGUAUAUCCUUCUGCCUGUUUCCUUCCACAGCUUGUUAUGUGAAUCUCCUAAUUUGAAAUCAUUUGCAACUCAUUCACACUUUGUAAAGCCUCAUGCUGCCCACACACACUUGCCUGCAGCCUGGACAGAGCAGUCAGUGUUCACCAAGUGAGAUGCUAACCAGCUAGUUGUUCCAACACCACUGGAUUGGGUAACCCUCCACCUUUGCAUUGAUUCAGGACACCUCCUUUAUCACCCAUUAUCUUGUAAAUAAUAGGGUCUGUUGCGGGUUUACUGAGUCUGUACCAUUGAUCUGUUUAUUCUUACAGCAGAACCACAGGGUUUGAACGACUGUGAUAAUAGAAUCUUGUUUAAUAUCAGAAAGCAUUUAUCUCUCUCUCUCUCUCUCUCACACACACACACACACACACACACACACACACACACCUCGCUUUAUUUUUCCUAAUUUUUGACUUCUU
rnacentral:lncRNA from 1 species